AUUGAACGCUGGCGGCAGGCCUAACACAUGCCAGUCGAGCGGAUGAAGGGAGCUUGCUCCUGGAUUCAGCGGCGGACGGGUGAGUAAUGCCUAGGAAUCUGCCUGGUAGUGGGGGAUAACGUCCGGAAACGGGCGCUAAUACCGCAUACGUCCUGAGGGAGAAAGUGGGGGAUCUUCGGACCUCACGCUAUCAGAUGAGCCUAGGUCGGAUUAGCUAGUUGGUGGGGUAAAGGCCUACCAAGGCGACGAUCCGUAACUGGUCUGAGAGGAUGAUCAGUCACACUGGAACUGAGACACGGCCCAGACUCCUACGGGAGGCAGCAGUGGGGAAUAUUGGACAAUGGGCGAAAGCCUGAUCCAGCCCUGCCGCGUGUGUGAAGAAGGUCUUCGGAUUGUAAAGCACUUUAAGUUGGGAGGAAGGGCAGUAAGUUAAUACCUUGCUGUUUUGACGUUACCAACAGAAUAAGCACCGGCUAACUUCGUG
rnacentral:rRNA from 1 species